AAGAGCCCAAGAUUGAAAGCUGGCGUCUUUGGCGUUCGCAUUGUAACCUCAAGAAGUGUUUUCCGUUUCGGACCAUGCCUAAGUCUCUUGGAAAAGAGCAUCAUAGAGGGUGAUAAUCCCGUACAUGGCAUGGAGCGCCCGAGACUUUGUGAUACACUUUCUAAGAGUCGAGUUGUUUGGGAAUGCAGCUCAAAAUGGGUGGUAAAUGCCAUCUAAGGCUAAAUAUUGGGGAGAGACCGAUAGCGAACAAGUACAGUGAUGGAAAGAUGAAAAGAACUUUGAAAAGAGAGUUAAACAGUACGUGAAAUUGCCAAAAGGGAAGGGUAGGAGGUCAGAGAUGCGUUCUGGGAUUCAGCCUUGCUUUUGCUUGGUGUUUUUCCCAGAUGGCAGGCCAACGUCGGUUUUGGGCGCUGGAGAAGGGUGGAAGGA
rnacentral:rRNA from 1 species